GACGAACGCUGGCGGCGUGCUUAACACAUGCAAGUCGAACGGAAAGGCCCUGCUUGCAGGGUACUCGAGUGGCGAACGGGUGAGUAACACGUGGGUGAUCUGCCCUGCACUUCGGGAUAAGCCUGGGAAACUGGGUCUAAUACCGGAUAGGAGCCAUUUUUAGUGUGAUGGUUGGAAAGUUUUUUCGGUGUAGGAUGAGCUCGCGGCCUAUCAGCUUGUUGGUGGGGUAAUGGCCUACCAAGGCGGCGACGGGUAGCCGGCCUGGGAGGGUGGACGGCCACAUUGGGACUGAGAUACGGCCCAGACUCCUACGGGAGGCAGCAGUGGGGAAUAUUGCACAAUGGGCGCGAGCCUGAUGCAGCGACGCCGCGUGGGGGAUGACGGCCUUCGGGUUGUAAACUCCUUUCGCUAGGGACGAAGCUUUUUGUGACGGUACCUAGAGAAGAAGCACCGGCUAACUACGUG
rnacentral:rRNA from 1 species